AACGCACGAGACCUGCGGACCUGCGGAGGGAUCAUUACCGAGUGCGGGCCCUCGCGGCCCAACCUCCCACCCUUGUCUCUAUACACCUGUUGCUUUGGCGGGCCCACCGGGGCCACCUGGUCGCCGGGGGACGUCCGUCCCCGGGCCCGUGCCCGCCGAAGCGCUCUGUGAACCCUGAUGAAGAUGGGCUGUCUGAGUACUAUGAAAAUUGUCAAAACUUUUAACAACGGAUCUCUAGAU
rnacentral:misc_RNA from 1 species